rnacentral:rRNA from 1 species
UUAAGCGACUAAGCGUACACGGUGGAUGCCCUGGCAGUCAGAGGCGAUGAAGGACGUGCUAAUCUGCGAUAAGCGUCGGUAAGGUGAUAUGAACCGUUAUAACCGGCGAUUUCCGAAUGGGGAAACCCAGUGUGAUUCGUCACACUAUCAUUAACUGAAUCCAUAGGUUAAUGAGGCGAACCGGGGGAACUGAAACAUCUAAGUACCCCGAGGAAAAGAAAUCAACCGAGAUUCCCCCAGUAGCGGCGAGCGAACGGGGAGCAGCCCAGAGCCUGAAUCAGUGUGUGUGUUAGUGGAAGCGUCUGGAAAGGCGCGCGAUACAGGGUGACAGCCCCGUACACAAAAAUGCACAUAUUGUGAGCUCGAUGAGUAGGGCGGGACACGUGGUAUCCUGUCUGAAUAUGGGGGGACCAUCCUCCAAGGCUAAAUACUCCUGACUGACCGAUAGUGAACCAGUACCGUGAGGGAAAGGCGAAAAGAACCCCGGCGAGGGGAGUGAAAAGAACCUGAAACCGUGUACGUACAAGCAGUGGGAGCACGCUUAGGCGUGUGACUGCGUACCUUUUGUAUAAUGGGUCAGCGACUUAUAUUCUGUAGCAAGGUUAACCGAAUAGGGGAGCCGAAGGGAAACCGAGUCUUAACUGGGCGUUAAGUUGCAGGGUAUAGACCCGAAACCCGGUGAUCUAGCCAUGGGCAGGUUGAAGGUUGGGUAACACUAACUGGAGGACCGAACCGACUAAUGUUGAAAAAUUAGCGGAUGACUUGUGGCUGGGGGUGAAAGGCCAAUCAAACCGGGAGAUAGCUGGUUCUCCCCGAAAGCUAUUUAGGUAGCGCCUCGUGAAUUCAUCUCCGGGGGUAGAGCACUGUUUCGGCAAGGGGGUCAUCCCGACUUACCAACCCGAUGCAAACUGCGAAUACCGGAGAAUGUUAUCACGGGAGACACACGGCGGGUGCUAACGUCCGUCGUGAAGAGGGAAACAACCCAGACCGCCAGCUAAGGUCCCAAAGUCAUGGUUAAGUGGGAAACGAUGUGGGAAGGCCCAGACAGCCAGGAUGUUGGCUUAGAAGCAGCCAUCAUUUAAAGAAAGCGUAAUAGCUCACUGGUCGAGUCGGCCUGCGCGGAAGAUGUAACGGGGCUAAACCAUGCACCGAAGCUGCGGCAGCGACGCUUAUGCGUUGUUGGUAGGGGAGGCGUUCUGUAAGCCUGCGAAGGUGUGCUGUGAGGCAUGCUGGAGGUAUCAGAAGUGCGAAUGCUGACAUAAGUAACGAUAAAGCGGGUGAAAAGCCCGCUCGCCGGAAGACCAAGGGUUCCUGUCCAACGUUAAUCGGGGCAGGGUGAGUCGACCCCUAAGGCGAGGCCGAAAGGCGUAGUCGAUGGGAAACAGGUUAAUAUUCCUGUACUUGGUGUUACUGCGAAGGGGGGACGGAGAAGGCUAUGUUGGCCGGGCGACGGUUGUCCCGGUUUAAGCGUGUAGGCUGGUUUUCCAGGCAAAUCCGGAAAAUCAAGGCUGAGGCGUGAUGACGAGGCACUACGGUGCUGAAGCAACAAAUGCCCUGCUUCCAGGAAAAGCCUCUAAGCAUCAGGUAACAUCAAAUCGUACCCCAAACCGACACAGGUGGUCAGGUAGAGAAUACCAAGGCGCUUGAGAGAACUCGGGUGAAGGAACUAGGCAAAAUGGUGCCGUAACUUCGGGAGAAGGCACGCUGAUAUGUAGGUGAAGUCCCUCGCGGAUGGAGCUGAAAUCAGUCGAAGAUACCAGCUGGCUGCAACUGUUUAUUAAAAACACAGCACUGUGCAAACACGAAAGUGGACGUAUACGGUGUGACGCCUGCCCGGUGCCGGAAGGUUAAUUGAUGGGGUUAGCGCAAGCGAAGCUCUUGAUCGAAACCCCGGUAAACGGCGGCCGUAACUAUAACGGUCCUAAGGUAGCGAAAUUCCUUGUCGGGUAAGUUCCGACCUGCACGAAUGGCGUAAUGAUGGCCAGGCUGUCUCCACCCGAGACUCAGUGAAAUUGAACUCGCUGUGAAGAUGCAGUGUACCCGCGGCAAGACGGAAAGACCCCGUGAACCUUUACUAUAGCUUGACACUGAACAUUGAGCCUUGAUGUGUAGGAUAGGUGGGAGGCUUUGAAGUGUGGACGCCAGUCUGCAUGGAGCCGACCUUGAAAUACCACCCUUUAAUGUUUGAUGUUCUAACGUUGACCCGUGAUCCGGGUUGCGGACAGUGUCUGGUGGGUAGUUUGACUGGGGCGGUCUCCUCCUAAAGAGUAACGGAGGAGCACGAAGGUUGGCUAAUCCUGGUCGGACAUCAGGAGGUUAGUGCAAUGGCAUAAGCCAGCUUGACUGCGAGCGUGACGGCGCGAGCAGGUGCGAAAGCAGGUCAUAGUGAUCCGGUGGUUCUGAAUGGAAGGGCCAUCGCUCAACGGAUAAAAGGUACUCCGGGGAUAACAGGCUGAUACCGCCCAAGAGUUCAUAUCGACGGCGGUGUUUGGCACCUCGAUGUCGGCUCAUCACAUCCUGGGGCUGAAGUAGGUCCCAAGGGUAUGGCUGUUCGCCAUUUAAAGUGGUACGCGAGCUGGGUUUAGAACGUCGUGAGACAGUUCGGUCCCUAUCUGCCGUGGGCGCUGGAGAACUGAGGGGGGCUGCUCCUAGUACGAGAGGACCGGAGUGGACGCAUCACUGGUGUUCGGGUUGUCAUGCCAAUGGCACUGCCCGGUAGCUAAAUGCGGAAGAGAUAAGUGCUGAAAGCAUCUAAGCACGAAACUUGCCCCGAGAUGAGUUCUCCCUGACUCCUUGAGAGUCCUGAAGGAACGUUGAAGACGACGACGUUGAUAGGCCGGGUGUGUAAGCGCAGCGAUGCGUUGAGCUAACCGGUACUAAUGAACCGUGAGGCUUAACCUU